CUCUCGUGAAAACGCGCUAGGAAAACAAUCAUGGACGACGCUUUGGCGUUGCGGCGAUACUGCUGUGCUGUCUGGCUGAUCAUGGGCAACGACGAUGGUGACAUUUUGGCAGCACUUACGAUGUACAAGUCAGAAACCGGGGACGACAACGACGAGAGACAACGACAAUGAAGAUGGUGGGUCAGGUCAUGAUUGCCGUGUGGUGCGGGGAUGCUGUGAGAACCUCGAGAAGACCAUGAUAACUAUUGGCGAUGAACCUGGGCACACAUGUGAGGAGCUUCUCCAUUCCGUGAUACUGUUGAAGCAGGUCACGCCCUUCCGUCUCGUGACUGAACCCAGAGAAAGGCUGCCCAUCACGUUCAGGUACCUCGCUACAGGUGAAACAGACCAGAGGACAUCGCACAAAACUGAGACGGCACAGGAGGCUCUCUGGCCACUUAUCAAAGUUAGUUGCAAAUGUUCAUCUGAUGCAACCGCAUUCAAGCACAUUCAAGCCACAUUUCUUUAAUGAAGAUGUAGUGAGUGGUCGAGGCUUUGCUGCAAGACAAGUUACAAGCUGCAGCCACAAAAACAGGUGCAAAUAAAUUGUCUGAAACAGC